rnacentral:rRNA from 1 species
CAUGCCGCGUGUGUGAGAAGGCUUUCGGGUUGUAAAGCACUUUGAGGGGAAAGGUUAGUAGUUAAUAGCUGCUAGCUGUGACGUUACGCAGAAGAAGCACCGGCUAACUCCGUGCCAGCAGCCGCGGUAAUACGGAGGGUGCGAGCGUUAAUCGGAAUUACUGGGCGUAAAGCGCGCGUAGGCGGUUAAUUAAGUCAGAUGUGAAAGCCCAGGGCUCAACCUUGGAACUGCAUUUGAAACUGGUUAACUAGAGUUUUGUAGAGGGUGGUAGAAUUUCAGGUGUAGCGGUGAAAUGCGUAGAGAUCUGAAGGAAUACCAGUGGCGAAGGCGGCCACCUGGACAAUAACUGACGCUGAGGCGCGAAGGCGUGGGGGCGAUUAGAUACCCCGGUAGUCCACGCAGUAAACGAUGUCUAUCUGUGCUAUAUGCCGUGGUCAAAGCUACGCAUUAAAU